rnacentral:rRNA from 1 species
UGCGUAGGCGGAAUAUUAAGUCAGUGGUGAAAUCCCGCAGCUUAACUGUGGAACUGUCAUUGAUACUGGUUUUCUUGAAUUUAGUUGAGGUAGGCGGAAUGUGUAAUGUAGCGGUGAAAUGCUUAGAUAUUACACAGAACACCGAUUGCGAAGGCAGCUUACUAAACUAUGAUUGACGCUGAGGUACGAAAGCGUGGGGAGCGAACAGGAUUAGAUACCCUGGUAGUCC